AGAGCGAACGCUGGCGGCAGGCCUAACACAUGCAAGUCGAGCGCCCGUAGCAAUACGGGAGCGGCAGACGGGAUAGUAACACGUGGGAACGCGCCCUUCGGUUCGGAAUAACUCAGGGAAACUUGAGCUAAUACCGGAUACGCCCUUACGGGGAAAGAUUUAUUGCCGAAGGAACGGCCCGCGUCCGAUUAGCUAGUUGGUGAGGUAAUGGCUCACCAAGGCGACGAUCGGUAGCUGGUCUGAGAGGAUGACCAGCAUCACUGGGACUGAGACACGGCCCAGACUCCUACGGGAGGUAGCAGUGGGGAAUAUUGGACAAUGGGCGCAAGCCUGAUCCAGCCAUGCCGCGUGGAUGAUGAAGGCCUUAGGGCUGUAAAGUCCUUUUAACGGGGAAGAUAAUGACGGUACCCGUAGAAUAAGCCCCGGCUAACUUCGUGCCAGCAGCCGC
rnacentral:rRNA from 1 species